rnacentral:lncRNA from 13 species
AUGCACAGCAGGGUGCCAGCGUCCACUUCCAGGGAGGGCUUCAGGCUGCUUCCACUCAGGCAGAAAGCAAAGGGAGGGACGCAGCAUAUGCAGAGAUCACAUGAUGAGAAAGAGAGGAAGCAUUAUCCUACCAGGAUGCAGGAAAGAGCAAAGAGAAAGACGGAGAGCCACCAGCAGGAUGUACUACAAUCAACCUCUACUGACUGCUCCAUCCCAUGGGGCCAUCUUUUCAGAGGCUAUAAGACUAGCUAUGUCUCAGAGCAAUGGGUCCAGAAGAAAGAAAGCAAAGAAGAAUUCACCCUUUGGCUCUUGUUCCCUGUUGGUCAUGAAUUGUUCUACAGAGUGUCCCCCACACUUUAGGUUGAGCAUGUGUGGUUGAGCAUGAUCUUGUGGGUCAGGCAACAUCUCAUGCUGUAGCAUCAACUGGGAAGGAGACACAGGGCAUAGGCCCCAAGCAUGAGUGAGCUACCCUCCGGCUGUGCUGACUGGACUUGGUCCUGUGCAGAGCUGGUCACCACAUGGUGACUGGUCCAGAAAGAGGCCAAAGACACAGGAUGGCAACAGAGUUGUUUUUCCCCAAUGAAAUCUUAGGCAGAAGCUAUCUUAGUACCUUUGCAUUGCUAUGAAGAAAUACCUGAGGCUAGGUGACUUAUAAAGAGACAGGUUUGCUUGGCUCAUGGUUCUGCACGUGGAAGAUACCAGAGGCAGGUGAAACCAAGGCGUCUGAAAUGAUAUGGGAAAGGUGUGUGGUACACACUGGGAAAGGCAAUCGACUACAGAAGGAGCAAGUUCACGCUCACAGAAGUUCCAGGCCUCAAACUGCCAUGAAGAUCAGAGGAGGGAGAGGUCAGUUAGGCCUGGGUGAUAACAAGGGAAGGUUUCCAGAAGAGGAAAGAGAAGGGAUCCAGCCUGAGUUGUGUGCCAGAUACUUACUACAUGUGUUGAGGGAUUUGAAGUAGGCCCCAAAGCAUGAAGAGAAUUUUGGCAGAUUGUCCUCUUUAUUAAACCAAACGUGCAUGUAAUUUUGUUGUCA